GACAGGUAGAGGUGUUGUGGAUCAGCCUAGUGGUCGUGGUCGUGGUAGAGAGAGGUUUCUGCCGGUACCCCUAGAAAUUCUGGAUCCUCUCCCUCUAAUCUGACUACCCCGGUGACGUUAUAGGUUGUGGGUGCAUCGAAACAGCCGUUCAUCAUGGUGCCUAAUCCUAACUACGUCCUUGCGUCAACAGCGAUAGUGCUGCCUCCAUCCGUUCAAUAGCCCACUGUCUCGGCAACGCUACCUUCAGCGACAGACACCCGGCACCAGAAUCCUCUCACGGAAGCCAACCAUAUAAUGCCCAUCCACCACCAUCCAUCGUACGGAUGACGAUUUGGCCUGAUGAUACAACGACGUGAACUUUAUAUGGGACAAGGAGCAUGAUGCCUUCAUCAGGAAGAUAUACGACUAUCAAAUGGGUAGGCAACUGCAACAUAUUCUAAAGGUUGAACGUGGUCACUUCUUGGCUUCGCCCAGAAAUCAAGAAGGCUCUGUACGUUCACUAGGAGAAUGAUAAAGAGUUUAGGUAUUGGCAUCUCACAAACAAAGCUAACAAGGCAUUGGCCAGGUCGUCUAAGUAUACCGGCGGCUCAACAACCUUCAUGAAUACUAAAACCAGGCUGGCAUGUAGCUUCUCUAAUUUUGUUAUUAACUUAGUUAUAUUCUAACAUAUCAUUAGUAAGCAUCCUAACAUAUUGUUUCAAUACAACAUGUAUAGUCGAAGUCGUUUGAUCGCAAUGCGAUAUUGGCGGAGACCUUUAAGUACACCCACACUUUGAAGGAGAACAAAGAGAGAUUUUCUAAUCAGCUAUCUGUAGAUCAUUAUGAGUCCGACACACAGAGACUGGAGGCCACAACUCAGCAAACUCAGCAAAGUGGGAAGGACACCAGUGGCUCUGUUGCUUCAGUCGUCAAUCCCGAUGCAAUUUGGCGAAAGCGAGACCGCCUCAGGGCCGUACAAGAACCGCAUAUAUAGGAUGGGGUCAUUCUUCGCCAGUAGUCUCCGCACCUCCACAUUGAGGCCAUCGUCUGCCUCUGCCACUAGUCGAUCCCGAGGAAGGCAUUGAUUUGAGGCUGCAGGUGCAGGAGCUCACUCGGAACCUUUAUGAACAGGCUCGGGAGCUGAACGAGACUCGAGAGAGGUAUCAAGAGAUCCUCACACAUGUGAUGGGCACAAAUGAGCUCAUCUUGGAGUGGAGGGAAAAGCUAGAGCGGCUUCAGCGAAUGGAGCAACAGAUGGCAGUGUACGAGGCUCAGAUGCAUGCCAGUGGCAGUAGGACCACGGAAAUGACAACGAUGACUAUCAGGAUCUUUAUUGAUCAGGGCUU